rnacentral:rRNA from 1 species
AGAGUUUGAUCAUGGCUCAGAACGAACGCUGGCGGCAGGUCUAACACAUGCACCCUCGAGCGCUCUCUUCGGAGGGAGCGGCGGACGGGUGAGUAACGCGUGGGAACGUGCCCUUCUCUAUGGAAUAGCCACUGGAAACGGUGAGUAAUACCAUAUACGCCCUUGGGGGAAAGAUUUAUCGGAGAAGGAUCGGCCCGCGUUAGGUUAGGUAGUUGGUGGGGUAAUGGCCUACCAAGCCUACGAUCUAUAGUGGUUUUAGAGGAUGAUCAGCCACACUGGGACUGAGACACGGCCCAGACUCCUACGGGAGGCAGCAGUGGGGAAUCUUAGACAAUGGGCGCAAGCCUGAUCUAGCCAUGCCGCGUGAGUGAUGAAGGCCUUAGGGUCGUAAAGCUCUUUCGCCAGAGAUGAUAAUGACAGUAUCUGGUAAAGAAACCCCGGCUAACUCCGUGCCAGCAGCCGCGGUAAUACGGAGGGGGUUAGCGUUGUUCGGAAUUACUGGGCGUAAAGCGCACGUAGGCGGAUUAGAAAGUUGGGGGUGAAAUCCCGGGGCUCAACCUCGGAACGGCCUCCAAAACUCCUAGUCUAGAGUUCGAGAGAGGUGAGUGGAAUUCC